CACGUAGGGGGCAAGCGUUGUCCGGAAUCAUUGGGCGUAAAGAGCUCGUAGGCGGCUCGGUAAGUCGGGUGUGAAACCCCCAGGCUCAACCUGGGGACGCCACCCGAUACUGCUGUGGCUAGAGUCCAGUAGGGGAGUGUGGAAUUCCCGGUGUAGCGGUGAAAUGCGCAGAUAUCGGGAGGAACACCAGCGGCGAAGGCGGCACUCUGGGCUGGAACUGACGCUGAGGAGCGAAAGCGUGGGUAGCAAACAGGA
rnacentral:rRNA from 1 species